UACAAUUUUUUUCUGUAUUCUAAUUUUUUGCCACUCCGAAACUAUGAAGAGCACAAUAUGACUUACAUUAAAGGGCAUUGGAGAGCGUGCCUACGUUUUCCUAUGGGCGGACAACAAUCCCGUUGAGUUUCCAAGCACCCUGCUCAGCCGCCAUAUUGUUCGGACAGGAAAGUAGCGUGCGACCUUUUUGAUUUCGAUGCUGUGGUCGCCAAGGUAUCUCCUUGGACGCCUCCAUGAGAAUUGGAAGGAGAAUUAAGGUGACCGCUGUCCACUAAACCGUCUAGUUUGCCCCUGUAUGGCUAGUAGUGGAACACAGCCAAGGAGGAAUGGCAUGUACGGUGCUUUUUUACUUAAAUAUGGUAAUGCCCCCCCCCCCCCCCCAAACCCUUUCCGACAGUUGAUAGGAGCGUCAUGCUCUAUAGGAAACAAGAACAACGGUAAUGUGACGUGUAUGCACAGGGAAGUAAGAUAGAUGCAACUGAUGCUUGCAUCAUAUGCGAUGAGACAGGAGUUGGCAUAUUCUCUGCACACUUUGGCUGGCCUUUGGAGCUUCGACUUCCAGAUUUGACACCUAUUUUUCAUGCCGCAUAAUUGGCUAACAUUCUAGCCUUGCCGAAGUUACCAUAAUAUCUACCAGCAUCCACUGUUUUACGAUUUGCUAUUGGUGUACUCGGCGCUUACAGGGAGAACAGACUCGAUUAUAUUGCUGACAUGUCAAUGUUUAGUCCACCAUUGAAACUAAUUUGGGCACCCGGUCACUGUUUAUUAUAUUUCACUGAAAUGCCGGACUCUAUUGCCAGAGCCUCCGGAGUUUCUGUUUUGCUGAUUACGGCUUGCAUUGCCUAAGCAAAACACAAAUUUCUGCCUUAAUCAAACGUCUACAAAACAUCUUAUCGAAUUCUGAAAUCUUGCUACUGCAGUUUCCCUAGAAUUCGCGAUGCUGUCCAACACGUCAUAAUGAGGUUGCAUGUACGGAGGUUGUGAUGCCGCAUUCCACAAUUAUUAUUAAUAUUAUUGUUAUUAUCAUUAUUAUUAUUAUUAUUAUUAUUAUUAUUAUUGUUAUUAUUAUUAUUAUUAUGGCUUUUCUGACAUAGUCCCUUUUCUGUCUCUUCUGUAACAAACAAAGGACUACGUAUCCUUCCUGCCGUCUAGCCCUGUCAUCCAUUCUCACUGAAAGGCUUCUCGAGUCUCUAGCCCUCGCUGCAGUGCCGAGCGCUUCGAUCCUGAUCAGUGAUUCUCAGGUGGCGAUACGCGGCUUCGCGCGCGGCCGCGUGUCGCGGGAAGCGGCCCGCAUACUCCAAAGGUGUGACGACGGCAGCUCGACAUCGCCCUCGCAACACCAAAAUUAUACGGUCUGCCUCCUCUGGACCCCGGCACACACCGACGUACCGCUCGUGGGCCACGAGGCGGCCCAUGCCGUGGCUCGAGGUCUCACACGCCGAGCCGCCGUAGAUUAUGUGGCCGCACCCGAGAGCGGGGCGUCGGAUCUGCCAGAUCGGGACACUAUACGACAAAAAACGCAGCAAGAACGAGAAUCACAAUGGGCAAUGGGCAUGGGACGAUUGCCUGACCACGUUCAGAGACCUCACCCAACACUACAGACUCGAAAGACGCACAUUCUCUUUACUGUACGAUACAUUAAACAGGAACGAGGCCGCAACCUUAUGCUUAUUGCAAACACACACCUACCCUAGCCCGGCUGUCUUACAUCACUGUUACCCAGUCAUAUACCCGACUGAAGCUUUUAAAGCGUGCAGACACAGAGCAACGCUGCGACACAGUGCUCUGUGAAUGUGCCGGCAACAACGGUACUAAAACCGCCACCGUUCGCGACGUGUCCAUAACGGCGACCGUUACCAGCGUGCAUGAAGCCUCGAGCUCGCUUCUUCACGACGCCGCCCCAAGUGCAGGGGCCGCCGAGGACCUUUUCCGUCGGGGUCGCCGCCGCUGAGAGGCGGCUUGCAGAAGUUCAUAGCUGGAAAACCAGCUCUAAGCCGUCUGGAAAGACGAAGAUGCCUCCCGAGUCCAAGAACUUCGAGCCGCCACUUGAGGCCAUCACAGCCAAAACUGCCGGACCAUUCUUGUUCUUGUUCCCUAGUGAAAUGGCACCACCCACUCUGGGGGAUCGACCAUGAAUCGGGCGGCAGAAGUGUCCUAGUGCCCACGCCCCAAGAGACAGUAUAACAGGGAGCGUAAUGCCCAAUCCAAGUGCCCAAUCCAUUCCAAGACGGUGAAGGCGCACCGAGCGGGCCGAGGAGGCAACGUGCCUGCCCCGAGGCUGUCGAGGCAGGUCGCGACCAUCUUCACAGCAGGCAGCCUCCACGGUGGCGUGCUGGCUUCCGCGAUUCCCGGUGGCAAGCUAUUGCAGGGUAACGCCGGGACAAGGCUCCAGGCGGCGCCGUUCCGGUGGUGCUGCGAGCUGUCUCGCCGUUGCUACCCAUACCAGGGCGGCCAGGUCCUUCAGCGCUCGAUAUGCGACCUGAAGGGGCUCUGGUUUAUCGGAGACUUCAUCGGUGACAGGUAGUGUGGGUCACUUCAAUUUUGCACACUAAAUGAAUUGAAAAAGACAGAAAAGCGCAUGGGGCGCCAGGAAAUGGCUCUAAAUGCUUGUUUAGCUGUUUCUGGUAAAAAUGCGUGGUCGUUCAGUUGCGGUGCAGUAUGGCUUCUAGAGAAAAAUAAAUCGUAAACGUCAACUAUCUAUGGAACGCGUAGCGCUAUUUGUGGAUUAUCAAAAAAAGCUCGACAGAGCUUGCUGAGCAAAUCGCGAUAUUUACGUGACAGAUUCAUCAAUUAAUCUGUUGUAAUGAUAGUUAGGACGAAUGUUUCAAUUGCGAAAUUCAAACGGAUUUGUAAUAAACCAACGUUGGCUUAGCUGAAAUCCUAAAAAAUUGCUCGAAUUUACAGAUAACCCCCCUAGCCUAAAAAAGAUUUCCUACAAAAUAUGUUGGCGCUACAAACUACUCCUGGCGCUCUUUUGGAAAAGUACGUAUGACGGCAGUGCAUUUAAUAGCAACGCUUGAAGGUAGCAUAUCAGAACAAUAGUGCUUGUCUUGCUACUUCUAAGAAAAGAUAAGUUAAAUAUUUUCUUGCCUUCGUUUAGCACGAAGUGACAUGUAAUUACAUAAACAAUAAAAAAAUAAUAUAUUCAUUUGACACUUGGAGUCGCAAUUGCUUAUAAAGGCGAUUUUCGCUUCUCCGACAAGUAUACCUGGAAAGGUUGAGUGGUGCCUGUCAUAAACGAUUUCUAAAACAAAAUAGUUUCCCACUAAAAAGAAUGAAAAUGGUGUUGCGAUUGGCGGUGAACAUUAAGAUGUAUAAUCGAGAGCAAAAGUGUAUGGGCUUAUGGUGCAAGGGAUUAUCAUUUGAAAAAAGGCGGUACCAGCUAAACCCAAAGGACGCGCACACAAGAAAGCGUUAGACACGGACGGACGCACUUCUGUUUCUUCACAGCCUCGGCAUGCGGGAUAGCCAAGGGGCGCGUCUUCGACCAAUGCAAUGCGUCGAAGCAAUUCCACGCUGCGGAGGUGUAGAACUUUGUCCGCUUAAUUGCGCUCAUAACAUUAGGUGGGUUAGUGCUCUCAUUUGCUUCUUCCUCCACGCUACAUACAUUAUAUCCUCGUCACCUUGCCCUCACCCUCAAUGUCGUCAAUGUCGCGCCGGGUUCCUGACACACCUUCAGCUGGCAAGAAUGUUUCCUCCCUCAACUCAACAUAUCGCGUGUAAAUAAUAAUUUGCUUGAUCCGCGAGUAAAAGGCGAAGAUAUAUUUCUCCACUACUAAACGAUAGCCAUAACGGGAUUUUUUUCCAUGAGCCAGGUAUGACCCAUCGGCAUUCAUCACAUAUGCGGGGCUGGUUAAGAGAUUGCACAGCCGAUUCACGAGUUCGCAAGGUUGCCGCUGUAAGGCUAGAUGCUUAUUGUUGGAUUUUUGCGAUAAAGUCCUGCACUUUGCCCUUAUUUGUGUAAAGACCAACAAAAAUGGAGCUUAUGCUAUAUCCAUAUUGUUAUGAUGGACACAUCAAAGGUCGCACAUGUCUGCACUGUCGUACAGUUUAACCAUUAACGUAAGCCUGUUUUAUUUCUUCAUGGAGUAGCUUGCAGCAAAUAUAGUGCAAGGAAACAUUGGCAACACCAAAUAACAAGGACGAAUGUGCCUGCGAUAGUACAUAAUGACACGUGCACUCAUUUCAUAACAUUUUCGCGUUCAAUUUGUUAAUGACGUUUCUGCCAAGUGCAUACUCAACGUAAAUAUUUGCUAUGAGAUGUAUAAAUAAAAAGUCAAGCGUCGGAUUUAUUGCAAUGUCGUGCCUGCAAAAUGUUUUGUUGUUCACGGGACACUGCAAAACUUACUGCCUCUACUGAGAGUGAAAUCUCAGUGUAUGGAAUUCAGUUGGGUAGGGUCAGAGAGCGAAUGUCCGCGCUAGCCCGCAUUCCACAUAUGGCACUGUUUCGUUUUACACCAUUAACACAGGCACGUGUUGUACGCGUGGUGUUUUUGGUCAACAUACUAAAGCGAAACGAAACAUUGUAUUUUUUAGUUAUUUCGUCCAGCACGUAACUGAAAACAGCAGCCCAAAUGAAUGCAAGGAAGGGCAAGCACCAUCCUCGUUUUCGUUUUUGCCUUUGUGUAACCUUCCGUUACGUGCUGGACGUAUUAAUGCAGAAUCAACUCUAGCAGGGCUUCAUCU
rnacentral:lncRNA from 1 species